GUCCAAUGUCGUUGGAGUGUUGACAAUGCUGUAAUAUAUGCAAGAACUAUUAAAAUAAAUAUAAAAAAACUGAGUAUGGACGUUACUAUUUCUUAUUGUCUUGUGAAUGGAAAAGCACCAUGUUGAAGGUUUUCAUGGUAUGGAGAAAAAGUUGAUGUCUUCAUCGUUAUCAAAGUUCGAAUCAGUGAUAACCUUCGACUGUUUUGAAACAGUCGGUAUGAUUGUGGUUACUUACUUGGAAGCGUUUCAUGAAGCCAUUUGAUAUAAUAGGCUUGAUUGGCGGUACAGUCUUCUGUGGCUGUUUUAAGUGGCAAGUUUCGCAAAGAUUGAUAUACUCUUCAAUAACCGAUCUUGGGAUACCCCAAAAUGAACUUGAAACCUUAGUAGGAAAAAUACGAAUUGAGUAGUUAUUUGUAUCAAUCUUUAUAUUUUGUCUAGGGUACAAUUUUUUAUGUAAAUAUAGUUAUUAAUUCUGAUAAGAAAACACUAAUACCUUUU